GUUUAUCCUCGGCUUUUUGGCUAAGAUCAAGUGUAGUAUCUGUUCAUAUCAGUUUAAUAUCUGAUAUGUCCUCUAUCCAAGGACAAUAUAUUAAAUGGAUUUUUGGAGCAGGGAGAUGGAAUAUAAGUUUGUUCUGUAUACUCCAUGCAUCAACCUUGUAUUAUAAUACCUCCAGGAAUGGUGCUCCCACC
ensembl:snRNA U2 U2 spliceosomal RNA